ACAGGCGUCCGGUGACAGUUCGCCCUCGGGGUCCCCUCCCCCUCCUUCCGCCGAGGACUCCUCGCACCUCCCCUCGCCCCGGCCUCCCACCACCCCUAAAGCUGCCCCACAAGCAAUACUCCCGGGGAGGCCCGUCCUGCACACACGCUGACCCUGCUCACCAGGAAAAGAAGGGCUAUGAAUACUAUCAAGAUUGACAAAGUUUAGAUUCAGACAGGAGAGCCUUCUAUAAGACGAACAAAUGCCUUUCACUUGAUCAGGAGAAUGAAAGCAUCCAACUAAGGAAUCUAAAGAUCCCUGGACAAACAAGCCAUCUGAAGAAAGAUGAACUAUUUCGAGAAAAAUGUCCCAAGAAAAAGAGUAAAAUUUGCCUAAUGGUAUAGUACAUUUUCAAUAGUAUAAAAUUUCAUAAAAUUUUGCAAAUAGUUGUUUCUGCUGCUCUUUACAAACAAAAAAGAUAAAUGG